rnacentral:rRNA from 1 species
GAUGAACGCUGACAGAAUGCUUAACACAUGCAAGUCGACUCGAGUCUUUCGGACUUGGGUGGCGCACGGGUGAGUAACGCGUAAAGAACUUGCCUCUUAGACCGGGGACAACAUCUGGAAACGGAUGCUAAUACCGGAUAUUAUGGUUUCUUCGCAUGGGGGAAUCAUGAAAGCUACAUGCGCUAAGAGAGAGCUUUGCGUCCCAUUAGCUCGUUGGUGAGGUAACGGCCCACCAAGGCAAUGAUGGGUAGCCGGCCUGAGAGGGUGAACGGCCACAAGGGGACUGAGACACGGCCCUU